GACGAACGCUGGCGGCGUGCCUAAUACAUGCAAGUAGAACGCACAGUUUAUACCGUAGCUUGCUACACCAUAAACUGUGAGUUGCGAACGGGUGAGUAACGCGUAGGUAACCUGCCUGGUAGCGGGGGAUAACUAUUGGAAACGAUAGCUAAUACCGCAUAAUAUUGAUUAUUGCAUGAUAAUUGAUUGAAAGAUGCUAUUGCAUCACUACCAGAUGGACCUGCGUUGUAUUAGCUAGUAGGUGAGGUAACGGCUCACCUAGGCGACGAUACAUAGCCGACCUGAGAGGGUGAUCGGCCACACUGGGACUGAGACACGGCCCAGACUCCUACGGGAGGCAGCAGUAGGGAAUCUUCGGCAAUGGACGAAAGUCUGACCGAGCAACGCCGCGUGAGUGAAGAAGGUUUUCGGAUCGUAAAGCUCUGUUGUAAGAGAAGAACGGGUGUGAGAGUGGAAAGUUCACAAUGUGACGGUAUCUUACCAGAAAGGGACGGCUAACUACGUG
rnacentral:rRNA from 1 species